ACACAUAGAAAUACAAAUAUAGAUACAUCCCAAAUUAACAAUCGAUGCUCAACUAAGAUCUUCUUCAACAUAACCCAUAUAGAGAUUCUAAAAUGCAAAGUCGAUGCUACUUACAUAGUUACAUAAGUUACAUAAAAUUAAUACGAGAAGAUUGUUACUACUGAGAUUUUGCACGAAAAAGAGUUUGCGGGCAAGCUAGCUUUUGAUCGCAUUUCUUUGUGCAUUGGUGGUGGCAUGUCGUUUACCGGUUGCAUUAUCCUUUUUUACUGAAUAUCUCUACGAGAUGGAUAUAAAUUGAUGCAUGCAUAAGUGAUGAACUGACUAUCGAUACAUCAAGACUUCGAAUCACUAAAUCGAUGAUAAGGUUUCACUCCUGAAAGCAAAAAGCAAUUGUACGUUGUGGUGACGCUGAUGGAAAUAGUAGAUCACGAUUUGAAAUCGUAAGGAUUGAGGCGGCUGAGUGGAUUAGUGGCGGUUAGUGACAAAUAGAGGCAAUGGCGGUGAACGGGGAUGGCAGCACCAAUAAUUGUUGUGACGACGGUGGUGGAAAUAGCGCUUGGUUGGUUGAUGCGGUGGUGAAAUUAAUCACCGGGUUUGGACAUUGGAUGAGUAAGACAUGAAUGUUGCGGAUAACCAAGAAAUCUGUUGCUACGUGGAAGAUUUUAGUCGGCUGGUGGGACCCAGUCCGGUUACAUGUCAUCAUCAUAUAUGCCAUGUCGGAUGUGAAAGGCACAGCUGAAACACGAAACGAAUAAUGCUACGUGGAGAUUCGCAUAUUCCAAUCAUAUUUAUUUAUUUACUGUUAUUAUUAUUAUACUCCGUAUUUUUAUGUUAUUGGGACCAAAAUUUAAAAGAGGAGAUCGAAGGACUUGUGAUGCAACUUCGAAUAACAUUCUGCCAAAAAGUGGAUCUCAGUGGAAGAUCUCUGCCCAGAUCGUUCAAAAGCCCCCACUGUGGCGUAGUGGGUCUGAACUCUCCCCCACUGCAGCGCAGUAGAAGAAAUCUGCUCAGGUUUUUACUUCAAAAUCACAUUUCGUCACAUAAAACCAUUUGCAUAUUCACUUAAAUACAUCAAAACAUCAAUCCACCUUUAAAUUAACUUAUAAUAUCACAACUUCUACUUA